rnacentral:rRNA from 1 species
GCUGUGUCCCCGCCGGCGCACAUGGGGUUUUUAUGCCCUUAACCGGGUGUCCCCUUGUGGCCGGCACGUUUACUUUGAAAAAAUUAGAGUGCUCAGAGCAGGCUGGUUUUUGCUUACAGCCCGAAUGGUCGUGCAUGGAAUGAUGGAACAGGACCUCGGUUCUAUUUUGUCGGUUUUUCGGAACCCGAGGUAAUGAUUAAUAGAAGCAGACGGGGGCAUUCGUACUGCGACGCUAGAGGUGAAAUUCUUAGACCGUCGCAUGACGACCUACUGCGAAAGCAUCUGCCAAGGAUGUUUUCAUUGAUCAAGAACGAAAGUUAGAGGUUCGAAGGCGAUCAGAUACCGCCCUAGUUCUAACCUUAAACGAUGCUGACUAGCGAUCCGCCGCAGUUAUUCCCAUGACCCGGCGGGUAGCUUCCGGGAAACCAAAGUCUUUGAGUUCCGGGGGAAGUAUGGUUGCAAAGCUGAAACUUAAAGGAAUUGACGGAAGGGCACCACCAGGAGUGGAGCCUGCGGCUCAAUUUGACUCAACACGGGGAAACUCACCAGGCCAGGACACCGGAAGGAUUGACAGAAUGAAGGCUCUUUCUCGAUUCGGUGGGUGGUGGUGCAUGGCCGUUCUUAGUUGGUGGAGUGAUCUGUCUGGUUAAUUCCGAUAACGAACGAGACUCUAGCCUGCUAAAUAGUCGACGGAUCUCAACCCCGUUGCCCCCGUUGUCGUUCGCGGCGAUGCGGGGCGCGGGUUCCCCGAAACCCGGUCGUCGUGCGGGCCUCCACCGUCGGUCGGUUAGCGCCGCCGGCGGCGCGCCCCGCGGCGCCGGAAACUGGCGUCCGCUUCGCAGUCUUCUUCUUAGAGGGAUAAGCGGCAGCAAAAAAUAUACUAGCCGCACGAGAGUUUGAGCCAUAACAGGUCUGUGAUGCCCUUAGAUGUUCUGGGCCGCACGCGCGCUACAAUGGAGAGUUCAGCGAGCUGGCCCUGCUCCGAGAGGAGCGGGUAACCUCGUGAAAGCUGUCCUUAAAGGGGAUUGGGGCUUGCAAAUGUUCCCCAUGAACGAGGAAUUCCCAGUAGGCGCAAUUCACCAGAUUGCGCCGAUUUAGUCCCUGCCCUUUGUACACACCGCCCGUCGCUACUACCGAUUGAAUGGUCUAGUGAGGGCACCGGACUGGCGCCCUUGGAGCCGCUACCGCCUCGGCGGGCAGCGCCCUCGGGUCGACGGAAAGGUGUCCAAGCUGGGUCAUUUAGAGGAAGUAAAAGUCGUAACAAGGUUUCCGUAGGUGAACCUGCGGAAG